rnacentral:rRNA from 1 species
AACGAACGCUGGCGGCAUGCCUAACACAUGCAAGUCGAACGAGACCUUCGGGUCUAGUGGCGCACGGGUGCGUAACGCGUGGGAACCUGCCCUUAGGUUCGGAAUAACUCCCCGAAAGGGGUGCUAAUACCGGAUAAUGUCUUCGGACCAAAGAUUUAUCGCCUUUGGAUGGGCCCGCGUUGGAUUAGCUAGUUGGUAGGGUAAAAGCCUACCAAGGCGACGAUCCAUAGCUGGUCUGAGAGGAUGAUCAGCCACACUGGGACUGGGACACGGCCCAGACUCCUACGGGAGGCAGCAGUGGGGAAUAUUGGACAAUGGGCGAAAGCCUGAUCCAUCAAUGCCGCGUGAGUGAUGAAGGCCUUAGGGUUGUAAAGCUCUUUUACCCGGGAUGAUAAUGACAGUACCGGGAGAAUAAGCGCCGGCUAACUCCGUG